AAAUCUGGGAAAGGAAAGAAAUAACUUCUUCGUGGACGUGGACUCUGCUGGCACAGUUUAACCCUACUGCCCCACUCAGUCUGAUACAUCUGCAUAAACUUUAUACUCUUGCAGAAUGGGUAUUUUUAAGGAUUUCUGUAGCCAAUAAUCACAGUCCUGCUGCAGCCAUUGCUGGGUUAUUUUCCCGAGCUGCCAAGGACCCAACUGUGCUCAUUUGGGAUUUGUCUGCAUGGAGUUUCCUGUAAGAUUGAGGCUUUUGCUGCUUGGAAAAAAGAGAGUCCAAUUCAUUAUGUUUGACUGGCACCUAGGAAAAUGAAGCUUUAACUGAAAAUUCUGCUUUGCAAGGAGCUGUGCCAAGUGACAUGCUUAGUGAACUGUGCUACCCUGGAUAAUUAAGAAGAGCUAAACUCUGGGUUUGUUACAACAGCUUUAGCUACAGAGCUAUUAUUGACACUGUGUAAGUAUCAACAAAAUAAUUGCCCAGCGAUCAUACUUCAACUUUUAUUUCUGAAAUGCAUUAAGUGAACUACUUCUAAUGCUAAUGUCUCUGAAGAUUAAUUAAGAGGGUUGGAGAGGAAAUUUUUUUAAAAAUACAGUUCAAGAAGUAACUUUUUCUACCAGAUGUUUCUAAUGUAGCUCUAGGAAACCAAGUGUCACAUCACCUAAAAAUUAGAUUUGGCUCAGUGGGAAUUUCCAGUACAAUUUUGUUUUCUUCAAAAUUAUACCAGUUAGUGAAGAACAGAAAAAAAUAGCUUUUCUUUGAUGACAUCACUGCUACAGUUUUCAAAAAACAUUUAGAUGGAUAACAGAUAAUCUGACUGUUAUGAAUUUCACAGUGUGCUUUUGACUUUGGUGUAUUUGAGAUAAUAUCACAUCUAUCACAAAGAGCUUGACAGAGACGCUUUCUCUUUAAUUCUCCCUUUACAAACAGGAUUUGAUCUACUUCCUCUUCUCCCCUCUGAGGCCAAGGAAAUUCUUUCUGUUCACUCUUCGAGCAUCCAAGUGUAUGUAAAAAAUUAUUUUUGGUGUCAGGUAUGCACUGAUGUUCCUCUGAAUAAGCAUUUUGUGCUAGAAGAAAUAAAUUAAAUGCUAUAAAAUGAAUAAUGCUCCCAGGAUUCCUUCUGCUGCUUAGCCCUCCAGUGCAAGUGGUGCCAAGCCUGAAAGGUAAACUAGAGUUUUCCCAGCUUGUUAAACUGAGUCCUGAAACCUUCUGUGUUUGAGGCAGUGGGAUACUGAGUACUCUACCACUACAAGCUCUUGUGGUUUUAUGACCAGAUGGAGAUGGGAUUUAAAUACCAACAGGCAGCAGGAUACCAAAAUUUAACUAAGUAUCUUAAUAGAUAAGUGGAUAAAUCUGUGAUUACAUGUUGCCAAUGGCUCACUGUUCGUUGUUCAGAAAUAAAUGCCCCUAGCAAUCCUUCAGCAGUAAUGAUAUCAGCAAUACUUAUCAGAAACAGACUGAUGCCUUUGUACAAAUGGUGCUGAUAAAGAACUCGCAAAGCAGAGCAGAGCAGAGAACAAUUCAAACAAGUGGAAUGAACAAAGGAGUCUAUGGCUUAUCUUUCAUGGCAUUUUCCAUGGCUUCAGAGUAUCUGACAGUGGAGCUGAUGGGAAUAUAUACUUUCCAUGACAACAGUUACAUAUGUCGCUUGCACUUUCAAUGUCUCUGCUGGAGCAGAGCAUGCUCAGUCUCCUGCCUGCUGAUGCAGGAUGGGGCAACUCUGGCACAUGGGAUAAGCCACCACUUCAGCUAUACUGGCCCCAGAGUGAUAGGUAACUUAAGGUCCUUAGGAUGGUGUCUUGGGAUGGUUGUUUUCUGCAGCUGCACCUGUUUGUCUCCAGAUAAAUCUAAUUUUUUUUUUUUCUAUAGUCACCACAGUUCUCAUUCCCAAAAGAGCAGCCAUAGCAGAAAACCCCAGGGUCACCAUUUGUCACUCUUGUAUUUGCUAGACCAUUGUCUUACUUCAUUUGUACCAUGCUGUGGGUUUCCUGUAAGAAAA